GAUGAACGCUGGCGGCGUGCUUAACACAUGCAGGUCGAACGAAGCAUUUACGACAGAUUUCCUCGGAUUGAAGUUGUUUAUGACUGAGUGGCGGACGGGUGAGUAACGCGUGGGUAACCUGCCUUGUACUGGGGGAUAGCAGCUGGAAACGGCUGGUAAUACCGCAUAAGCGCACGGUGCUGCAUGGCACAGUGUGAAAAACUCCGGUGGUAUAAGAUGGACCCGCGUCUGAUUAGCUAGUUGGUGAGAUAACAGCCCACCAAGGCGACGAUCAGUAGCCGACCUGAGAGGGUGACCGGCCACAUUGGGACUGAGACACGGCCCAGACUCCUACGGGAGGCAGCAGUGGGGAAUAUUGCACAAUGGAGGAAACUCUGAUGCAGCGACGCCGCGUGAGUGAAGAAGUAAUUCGUUAUGUAAGGCUCUAUCAGCAGGGAAGAUAGUGACGGUACCUGACUAAGAAGCUCCGGCUAAAUACGUGCCAGCCGCCGCCGUAA
rnacentral:rRNA from 1 species